rnacentral:sRNA from 1 species
UUUUAUUAUUUUCCAAAAGUUCACUAGGGUCAUUUGACCCCUAUAAUUCUUCAUUGGCUCCGUCCCUGCCCCCAGUAAAAAUUUCUCGAUU